AUACGGAGGGGGUUAGCGUUGUUCGGAAUUACUGGGCGUAAAGCGCACGUAGGCGGAUUGGAAAGUUGGGGGUGAAAUCCCAGGGCUCAACCCUGGAACUGCCUCCAAGACUAACAGUCUAGAGUUCGAGAGAGGUGAGUGGAAUUCCAAGUGUAGAGGUGAAAUUCGUAGAUAUUUGGAGGAACACCAGUGGCGAAGGCGGCUCACUGGCUCGAUGCUGACGCUGAGGUGCGAAAGCGUGGGGAGCAAACAGGAUUAGAUACCCCAGUAGUCC
rnacentral:rRNA from 1 species